ACUGCAGACGGCUCCAUUAGCAGUUAUAAUUUAUUUGAUUAUGGAUGCUUACCUUACUACUAUACUUUCUAUCAUUUUAUGAUACCUAGUAUAAAGGGCAUUUUUAAACGGAUAACCUUGAUAAAUUGUGGCUAAUACGUGCUAACUAAGCUUUACUUUGAUUGAAAAGUAAAGGCUUUGUACUUGUUAGUUUUUAAACAAAGGUUGACAAACCUACUUUAUAAAAAAUAGAACUAAGUGAAAGUUAACAAUUUAUCGAAUCUGUUAAGGGAUCAAGGACGAUAGUCUUUUUACCGAAAUUCUUCUUGAUGCUCGGUUUCGACCUGUCUACUCUUCGAGUUAUUCAGGUUGAGAGUCCCUUUAAGUAAAUCAGAUGUUUCAUUCAAAUUUCUGGUCUAUCAAUUAGAAGCUAGGGUAGUUGCCUAGCUUGAUAAUAACGGAUCCGGGGAAUUAGGGUUCGAUACCGGAGAAGGAGCCUGAGAGACGGCUCCUGUUACUACGGUGAACAGCAGGCGCGAAACUUUCCCAAAUUUUGACUCAAAGAGGAAGUGACAAGAAAUAUUAACGCGGUCAACUCCAAAAGUUGACUGUACUGUCAAAAUGAGGACAAGUUAAAAUUCUUACCGAUUAACAAUUAGAGGGCAAGUUCUGGUGCCAGCAGCCGCGGUAAUUCCAGCUCUAAGGGUUCGUUUAUUUUAGUUGUUGUAGUUAAAACGCUCGUAGUUGGAACUUUUUCAAUUUAAUAACUUAAUCAUUUAAGGGACUUAAAUGAAACUAAAAAAGUUAAAACAUUAGUUUUUCUUUUUUUAUUACUGUGAACAAAAUUUAGCGUUCAAAGCAAGCUAUUUAUUACUAAACACUAUUUUUAGUGGCUCUGAGAAAAUUAGCAUGGAAUAAUGGAAUAAGACCUUUAUGGGUUUUUGUUUAUUGGUUUUUGACCUUUUCUCCCAUUAGGUAAUGAUUAAAAGGGACAGAUUUCAGGACUUGGUCUUUAUGAAAUUUUUAAUUGAAGCUGGAUUCGCCAUCGUUUCGGUGUGUGUAUGAAAGUGAAUGUUUUCUAUGGAUUAUUGAUUUUCAAUGUUUCUGAAUUUUAUCGGGGGCGUUAAUAUUCAACGGGGAGAGGUGAAAUUCAGUGAUCCGUUGAGGAUUAACAGGAGCGAAAGCGUUCGUCAAGGAUGUUUUCAUUAAUCAAGAACGAAAGUUAGGGGAUCGAAGACGAUCAGACACCGUCGUAGUCCUAUUUUACCGUAAACGAUCUCGACUAAGGAUUGGGUCUCAAAAGUUAUCAUAGCUUUUAUCAAAUUUUAUUCGAUUCUAUUCGUUUAAUUAAUUUAAUCGCUAUGAGCUUUUAUUUAACAGGGUUUCAAAAGAUUUUUUUCUUUUAGAAAUUAAUCAUAAAGGGACCUUAUGGAAGACUCAGGACUUGAAGGAGAAAUCAUUAAGUGAACGGAGUCUAGGGGGAAGUAUUAACGCAAGUUUGAAACUUAAAGGAAUUGACGGAAGAGCACACAAUAAGUGGAGCUUGUGGCUUCUAAUUUGACUCAACGCGGGAAAACUUACCAGAUCCGGAUUGGAUUAGGAUUGACAGAUUGACAGCUCUUUCAUGAUUUUCAAAGUGGUGGUGCAUGGCCGUUCUUGGUUGGUGAAGUGAUUUGUCUGUGUUAAUUCCGAUAACGAACGAGACCUUGACUUACAUGUUUAAACAUGCAUGAUAUUUUUCAUCUUUUAUUUAAUAUAAAGAUAAUAUAUGUGCUUAGCGUAUUCUUUUAAACCUGCUUUGAAAUUUCUUUUUUUCUUUUAAAUUAGAUUGGGAUAAGAUUUGGUUUGUUACGUAUUACGUUUAACCUUGAAGGACGAUUCAUUUUUUAUAGUGAAAGGAAGAGCGAGGCAAUAACAGGUCUGAGAUGCCCUUUGAUGUUCUGGGCUGCAC
rnacentral:rRNA from 1 species